GAAUCCAGGCCCUACGGGGUGCAGCAGGCGCGAAAACUUUACAAUGCUGGCAACAGCGAUAAGGGAACCUCGAGUGCCAGGUUACAAAUCUGGCUGUCGAGAUGCCUAAAAAGCAUUUCAUAGCAAGGGCCGGGCAAGACCGGUGCCAGCCGCCGCGGUAACACCGGCGGCUCGAGUGGUAACCGUUAUUAUUGGGUCUAAAGGGUCUGUAGCCGGCCGGAUAAGUCUCUUGAGAAAUCUGGCAGCUUAACUGUCAGGCUUUCAGGAGAUACUGUCUGGCUCGAGGCCGGGAGAGGUGAGAGGUACUUCAGGGGUAGGGGUGAAAUCUUGUAAUCCUUGAAGGACCACCAGUGGCGAAGGCGUCUCACCAGAACGGACCUGACGGCAAGGGACGAAAGCUAGGGGCACGAACCGGAUUAGAUACCCGGGUAGUCCUAGCCGUAAACGAUACUCGCUAGGUGUCGGCCACGGUGCGACCGUUGUCGGUGCCGUAGGGAAGCCGUGAAGCGAGCCACCUGGGAAGUACGGCCGCAAGGCUGAAACUUAAAGGAAUUGGCGGGGGAGCACCACAACGGGUGGAGCUUGCGGUUUAAUUGGAUUCAACGCCGGAAAUCUUACCGGGACCGACAGCAAU
rnacentral:rRNA from 1 species